GUGAAAUAAUAGUUUUCUGCAUUUGAUUUUUUGAAUUCACAUUUAGAUAUAAAAAAGUGCUAAAAGUAAGAAAAGAUUUUUUCUCCUGACAUAAAGUAGAGUUUUUGCGAGACAUGGUGGAUGUUCGGGGGAGGGGGGUUUUCUAGUUCGGACAUGAGCGACCUUAAAGCAAGUAAGACGGGGGUGCAAGAAAACCUGUUGUUUAUCAUCUAUCGUAUGAAAAUAAUACAGUUUUAGGAUCAAAAUUAACACUGGGUUUAUGAUUGAGAAAAGUUCUAGGACCCAAUUUAAAAUAGCAGUUGUCCCAGCUUGAAAUGUAAGCUACUAAGUGUUGUAUAUAAGACGUGAUAAUCUGUAUUUCGCCGUUGUAAAACAGAGCUACGGCGACGUCUAAAAUGUCCG